rnacentral:rRNA from 1 species
GACGAACGCUGGCGGCGUGCUUAACACAUGCAAGUCGAACGGACGAGUGAGAUAAGUUUACUUAACUCACAAGUUAGUGGCGGACGGGUGAGUAACACGUGGAUAAUCUACCUGCAACACCGGGAUAACGCUGUGAAAACGGUGCUAAUACCGGAUACGUUCCCUUGUGCGCAUGUAUGAGGGAAGAAAGCUCAGGCGGUUGCAGAUGAGUCCGCGGCUGAUUAGCUAGUUGGUGAGGUAAAGGCUCACCAAGGCGAUGAUCAGUAGCCGGCCUGAGAGGGUGAACGGCCACACUGGGACUGAGACACGGCCCAGACUCCUACGGGAGGCAGCAGUGGGGAAUCUUCCGCAAUGGGCGCAAGCCUGACGGAGCAACGCCGCGUGGGUGAAGAAGGCCUUGGGUGUAAAGCCUGUCUUAUGGAAGAAGUCAGUGACGGUACCAUAGGAGGAAGCCACGGCUAACUACGUGCCAGCAGCCGCGGUAAAAGUACUACU